rnacentral:lncRNA from 1 species
GUGUAGUGUUCUUCUCUGCAGUGCACCAGCAGGGGAGGGUGUGUGUGUGGGUGGAGCCAAUAAUUCUGCUGGGUUCCGUUUAUGCACACCUUCCUGAAAGAAGUCUUGGGAACCCAGGGGAGGUCUCUCAGGAAGCCUGAGUCCUGGAUCUGGGCGGAUGGAGGCUCAGGAGGAAGGAAAAGUGUGCCCAUGGCUAACGCCCACCGGCUGCCCAAGGCUCCUGUGAACUUCUUGUACCAGGUUCAGGCUCCAAGCCUGUGCUCCUGGCUGAGUUCAUCCCUCCGUGCCUAUGUAUGCCAGAGUGCACGGGACUGUUUCCAGCGUCACACCAGGUGCUGUGCCCCAAGGCAAUGUGUCCUACUCUUCCGAGUCAGGAAGCCCCUCCACUGCAGGGUAUGGGUUGGAGAUAGAUACAGGUGUUGGGGGUAGAGCAAGGUCCAGGUAGUAGGGAGCAGGAGAAAACACUGCCUGUCUACUCUGUGGCUCCCUUUGGGCUCCUGAUACCAACAGAAACCAGUGAAGUUCAUUCUGUUUGCCACA